rnacentral:tRNA from 1 species
GGAGAGCACGGCGCGGUUGGCGCUGCGCGACGCGGCUGCGUCGAUCCGGUCGAGAUAGGCUUCGCGUGCCGGCCGCGAGCGCUCCC